rnacentral:rRNA from 1 species
GACGAACGCUGGCGGCGUGCCUAAUACAUGCAAGUAGAACGCUGAAGGAGGAGCCUGCUCUUCUGGAUGAGUUGCGAACGGGUGAGUAACGCGUAGGUAACCUGCCUGGUAGCGGGGGAUAACUAUUGGAAACGAUAGCUAAUACCGCAUAAGAGUAGAUGUUGCAUGACAUUUGCUUAAAAGGUGCAAUUGCAUCACUACCAGAUGGACCUGCGUUGUAUUAGCUAGUUGGUGGGGUAACGGCUCACCAAGGCGACGAUACAUAGCCGACCUGAGAGGGUGAUCGGCCACACUGGGACUGAGACACGGCCCAGACUCCUACGGGAGGCAGCAGUAGGGAAUCUUCGGCAAUGGACGGAAGUCUGACCGAGCAACGCCGCGUGAGUGAAGAAGGUUGUCGGAUCGUAAAGCUCUGUUGUAAGAGAAGAACGAGUGUGAGAGUGGAAAGUUCACACUGUGACGGUAUCUUACCAGAAAGGGACGGCUAACUACGUG